CUACGGGUGGCUGCAGUGGGGAAUAUUGGACAAUGGGCGAAAGCCUGAUCCAGCCAUGCCGCGUGUGUGAAGAAGGCCUUCGGGUUGUAAAGCACUUUCAGUGGGGAAGAAAGCCUUGGGGCUAAUACCCUCGAGGAAGGACAUCACCCACAGAAGAAGCACCGGCUAACUCCGUGCCAGCAGCCGCGGUAAUACGGAGGGUGCGAGCGUUAAUCGGAAUUACUGGGCGUAAAGCGCGCGUAGGCGGUCUGAUAAGCCGGUUGUGAAAGCCCCGGGCUCAACCUGGGAACGGCAUCCGGAACUGUCAGGCUAGAGUGCAGGAGAGGAAGGUAGAAUUCCCGGUGUAGCGGUGAAAUGCGUAGAGAUCGGGAGGAAUACCAGUGGCGAAGGCGGCCCUCUGGACUGACACUGACGCUGAGGUGCGAAAGCGUGGGUAGCAAACAGGAUUAGAUACCCGUGUAGUC
rnacentral:rRNA from 1 species